GCCAGGGUGGCGUAGUGGUUAGCGCAUCUGCCUAGUGAGCAGGAGACAUAGGUUCAAAUCCUGGCUUUGGUA